UAUGAGAAAACAAAUAAUUGA
rnacentral:piRNA from 1 species